AUUGAACGCUGGCGGCAGGCCUAACACAUGCAAGUCGAACGAGUGGCGGACGGGUGAGUAAUGUCUGGGAAACUGCCCGAUGGGGGGGGAUAACUACUGGAAACGGUAGCGAAUACCGCAUACCAUCGGAUGUGCCAAGAUGGGAGUAGCUAGUAGGGGGGGUAACGGCUCACACGGGCGACGAUCCCUAGCUGGGCUGAGAGGAUGACCAGCCACACUGGAACUGAGACACGGUCCAGACGCCUACGGGAGGCAGCAGUGGGGAAUAUUGCACAAUGGGCGCAAGCCUGAUGCAGCCAUGCCGCGUGUAUGAAGAAGGCAUUCGGGUUGUAAAGUACUUGCAGCGAGGAGGCGUUACUCGCAGAAGAAGCACCGGCUAACUCCGUGCCAGCAGCCGCGGUAAUUC
rnacentral:rRNA from 1 species